UGGCUCAGUUUGUAGAGCAUGGUGUUUGCAAUGCCAGGGUUGUGGGUUCAAUUCCCAC
rnacentral:tRNA from 1 species